CGGCCCCGCCCCGGCGUGGAGUCCGCGUCUCGAGUCCGGCGCGGGGCUGGCGGAUCCUCCCAAACAUGGUAGCGCCGGGGUUUAUAUUUGGGCUGGUGCUGCCUUUAAUCCUGCCGGCCGACACAAGUAAAGAUGUCCGUUUUCGCUUUGCUUCAUACAUCAAUAAUUACAUGGUGCUGCAGAAGGAGCCCGCAGGGGCAGUGAUCUGGGGCUAUGGCAUAUUCGGAGCCACAGUGACAGUGACUUUGUGCCAAGAUAAAGAAACCAUCAUGGAGAAGGUGACGAGUGUGAAAGCACAUUCUAACAGCUGGAUGGUGGUACUGGAUCCUAUGAAGCCUGGUGGACCUUAUGAGGUGAUGGCACAACAGACUUUUGGGAGAACAAACUUCACCCUGAGAGUUCAUGAUGUCUUAUUUGGAGAUGUCUGGCUUUGCAGUGGGCAGAGUAACAUGCAGAUGACGGUUUCACAGAUAUUCAAUGCGACAAGAGAGCUGUCUAACACUGCGGCCUAUCAGUCUGUCCGCAUCUUCUCUGUGUCGCUCACUGAGGCAGAGCAGGAACUGGAGGACCUGGCCAAGGUUGACUUGCAGUGGUCUAAGCCCACCUCAGAAAACUUAGGCCAUGGAGUUUUCAAGUACAUGUCAGCAGUGUGCUGGCUCUUUGGGCGUAACCUGUAUGACACAUUGCAUUAUCCCGUUGGGCUGAUCUCCUCCUCGUGGGGUGGGACACCCAUUGAAGCCUGGUCUUCUGGAAGGUCACUGAAAACCUGUGGUGUUCCUACACGAGGGUUUGUUCAGUCUGAUUCUGUAACCGGUCCCAGUAAGAACUCUGUUCUCUGGAAUGCCAUGAUCCAUCCGCUACAUAAUAUGACUCUGAAAGGGAUGAUAUGGUACCAGGGGGAGUCCAAUAUAAAUGUUAACAGGGACCUGUACAAUUGCACGUUCCCUGCGCUCAUUGAAGACUGGCGUGAAGCCUUCCACCAUGGCUCCCAGGGGCAGACAGAGCGUUUCUUCCCAUUUGGAUUUGUCCAGUUAUCUUCAUAUUUGUCUGCAACCUCAGAUGAUAAAUUUCCCCAGAUCCGUUGGCAUCAAACAGCAGACUUUGGCUAUGUCCCCAACGUGAGGAUGCCCAACACUUUCAUGGCAGUAGCAAUGGAUCUCUGUGAUAGGACGUCCCCUUAUGGCAGCAUCCACCCUCGAGAUAAACAGACUGUGGCCUACAGGCUGCACCUGGGGGCCCGGGCUGUGGCCUAUGGUGAGAAACUGAUCUUUCAAGGACCACUGCCUGAGAAGAUGGAACUCCUGGCUGACAGAGGGCUGCUAAACCUCACAUAUUCACAGCAAAUCCAGGUGAAGAAGCAGGACAAAAUAUUUGAGAUCUCAUGUUGCAGUGACCGUCAGUGCAAGUGGCUCCCAGCUCCCAUGGGCACUUUCUCAGCCCAGACCCUGGCCCUGAACGUCAGUUCUUGUCGCGGCACUCCCGCUGCUGUUCGCUAUGCCUGGACCACGUGGCCUUGUGAAUAUAAGCGGUGCCCCCUGUACCACCCCAGCAGCACCCUGCCGGCUCCUCCCUUCAUCGCUUUCAUGACAGACCAGAUCCCUGGAGAUCUCAGCAAGCUUGCUAAAUGAUUUAGCGGCAUUGCGAUCAUUACCUUGGACAUAAGUGUGCGUCCUUUCGAUGUGGGCAUUUAGCUGUUGAAGUGAUGACAGCUAUAGCUUUUAAAGGCAACUAAUAGAAAAGCCGCAUUGGACAGCUCCCAGCUAACACAUGGCUGUGUCCGUGUUCUGAAUAGGCGAUGAGCAGUGCUGGCAGGCUAAUGAGAUGCUUGCCUCUUGUCCCCUAGUCAGCCUAGGUGUCUUGCCAGACUAAUUCCCAGCUACAAAUGGAACUUCAGUGUCCUUCACUUCCCUGUGGAGAGUGCAGUGUCUAACACUUUUGUCUACUUAUAUCCAGAACUGUGGAAACUCGUGGCUGGAAAGGAUUUGAAGGCCAUGUGGGCCAGCUCCUAUUUAUGUCUUCUUUACAAAAUCUGGAUAUGAAGUGUGAAGAAAAAGAUGAACGGCGUGCCUUGGGCCAGCCUCUCUGGCUUGGGGAGAAGCAGACUGGACUGUGAUCGUCCAGACAUGGAAAUGAAGCAGCUGCUGGGGUAGCAGGGGCUGGGCCUUCAUUCCUGGAGCUAGGAUCAGAAUCCAGGUGGAAGGCUGGGACUCCUCCCACCUCUCCCUCCUGAGUCUGCAGCC